rnacentral:rRNA from 1 species
ACGCUCGACACCUACGGGAGGCUGCAGUGGGGAAUAUUGCACAAUGGGGGAAACCCUGAUGCAGCGACGCCGCGUGAGUGAAGAAGUAUUUCGGUAUGUAAAGCUCUAUCAGCAGGGAAGAAGAUGACGGUACCUGAGUAAGAAGCCCCGGCUAACUACGUUCCAGCAGCCGCGGUAAUCUGAGCGGGCUGGCAAGGC